AAAAUGAAUGCUGUAAAUGGGAAAUGAAUGGAUCAAAACAUGCAUGUUGUCUUGUACUGUGAUCUAUUCUUUCUUUAUUUUAUUUUCUGCAGAUAUAUUCUUUUUUUUUUAAUGGUUGAGUUUAUUUGUUCAAAUGGACACUAUAGUCACCAAAACAACUUUAGCUUUAUGAAGCAGUUUUUGUGUUUAGUUUUCUGUCCAUGAAGUCCUGUGUACGCAUCUACUGGCUUUGACUGACAAUCAGACGUAGCUUACUUUAAAAGUUUUAUCUCCUGGUCUGUAAAUUUAACUUUAAUUACAUACAGAGACUCCUACAGGGUCUAUGAUGCCAUUAACAGAGGAGGAGAUAAUACAUUCUAAAUUAGACAGAAAUUGCUAUAAAGGAAGUGUAAACCUUAGAUGACUCUUUACAGAAAGUGUUUAGGAAGGCCGUGCAAGUCACAUGCAGAGAGGUGUGACUAAGGCUGUAUAAACAAAGUGAUUUAACUUCUAAAUGGCAGAGAAUUGAGCAGUGAGACCGCAGAGGCAUGGUCUAUACACCAAAACUACCUUAUUAUGCUAAUGUUGCUUUAGUGACUAUAGUGUCCCUUUAAGUUGAAUGUAAUCUUUAAGAAAAUGAGAACAUGGUGACUCUUUUGCUUGGCUACACUGGAUAUACAAAUAUACCAUUCUGCUUUAUUAAAUUGACAUUUUAUAGAACAUUUAGGGACACAUACUUGGAUGCCUGAAUGUGGGGGGAACAAAAUGUGUUUAUAUAAGAUCCAUGCUGGCACUAUAUUUUAGGGUAAUUUGAAGAGUUCUAGCCGCUCAUAUCUCUACCUAAUGAAUGAAAACCGAACAAGUAGCCAUCAGAUCACUGAUAUUGAUUUCAUUAUUCCCAUCCCACAGCCCUGUGGGUGAAUGUUAAUGUUGAGGCAGUCAUGAGUUGGCGCUAUGUUAGUAAUAUUAACUUAGUGGGUUAGAAUAUGUUUGAAACCCUUUCCCAAGAUCUGUACCACAACUGGUGCAGCUCAAUCAUUUUAUGCAUACACCCUGAAAUAAUAGAUUAAUGGCAGGUGUAAACCAGGCUUUUAAUCUUCUACCAACAAAAUAAUGUUUCUGUUACUGAUGCAAGCCAGUGAGUAAUGGGGAUAUAACUUGAUAUCAUUGUGUAUUCAAUGCUUUAGGCAAUCUGUGGUUGAAUUAAAAGUUCUGUUGGCUUUCACAAGAUUACAGAGAUUUUAGCUUAAACUCAGUUUAAAACCUGCAGG